CGUUAGCGGCGGACGGGUGAGUAACACGUGGGUAACCUACCUAUAAGACUGGGAUAACUCCGGGAAACCGGGGCUAAUACCGGAUAACACAUGAAACCGCAUGGUUUCAUGAUGAAAGACGGUUUUGCUGUCACUUAUAGAUGGACCCGCGGCGUAUUAGCUAGUUGGUAAGGUAACGGCUUACCAAGGCAACGAUACGUAGCCGAUCUGAGAGGGUGAUCGGCCACACUGGAACUGAGACACGGUCCAG
rnacentral:rRNA from 1 species